CAAUGCCUACGGGGCGCAGCAGUGAGGAAUAUUGGUCAAUGGUCGGGAGACUGAACCAGCCAAGCCGCGUGAGGGAGGAAGGUACAGAGUAUCGUAAACCUCUUUUGUCAGGGAACAAAGACUGGGACGCGUCCCCGGAUGAGUGUACCUGAAGAAAAAGCAUCGGCUAACUCCGUGCCAGCAGCCGCGGUAAUACGGAGGAUGCGAGCGUUAUCCGGAUUUAUUGGGUUUAAAGGGUGCGCAGGCGGUCUGUUAAGUCAGCGGUCAAAGCCCGGGGCUCAACCCCGGCCCGCCGUUGAAACUGG
rnacentral:rRNA from 1 species